rnacentral:lncRNA from 1 species
GCUCCGACUUGAGAUGAUUUGACAUAGUCGGUUGAGUACCGAUCUAAUGAAAGAUAUAAGUUCCGGCUCGGGAUGAUUCGACUUAGUCGACUAAAAAUCAACUUAAUGAAAGGUAUGAGCUUCGGCUCUGGCUCUAGCCAACCGACUACAAGCAGAUACCUUAACCCAAAUUGGGACCUACAAAUUGAUGAGAAUGAUCGAUUAGAGGCACCUCAGCUUCAUCUGAGAUUUCUAAAAUACUGACCC